UUUUUUUCUUUCCAGGUAAAAUGUAUAUUCAAUGAAGUGUCCAAAUCUUAAGCGCACAUUCACUGAGUUUAAACAUAUACAUACAAACACAUAACUAAAAACAAAACAAAACAAAACAAAAACACACUUCUCUUCCAUGAAGAACCAAUGUUUUGAUUUUUUUCCCCCACCAUAGACUAGUUUUGCCUCUUCUAUAAUUUCAUAUAAAUGGAAUCCUAGAAUUUACACUCUUUUUGUGGAAGGCUCCUUUCACUCAGCAUGUCUUUUAGUUUCAUAAGUACUGGCGCAACUAUCAGUAAUUUUCUCAGUAUUACUGAAGAGUAUUCCAUUACAUAAAUAUCUAUUAUUUAUCUAUUUUCCCAUUGAUGGGGAUGCCUAGGCUUUACUUGUGUUCGUCAACAUAUAUUCCAAUUUCCCUUGAAUAACUAACUAGGAGUAGAACGGCAGAGUCAAAGAGAAGGGUUUAUUUAGUUUUAUAAGAAAUGCCAGCCAUGGAGUUCCUUUCAUGGCUCAGUGAUUAACAAACGCAACUAGGAACCGUAACGUUGUGGGUUUGAUCCCUAGCCUCGCUCAGUGGAUUAAGGAUCAGCGUUGCCAUGUAGGUCACAGACACAGCUGAGGUCGCAGCUCCUGAGUUGCUAUGGCUGUGGUGUAGGUCAGCAGCUGGGGUCUAAUUUGACCCCUAGCCUGGGAACUUCCAUAUGCUAUGAAUGCAGCCAUAAAAAGCCAAACAAAACAAAACAAAACAAAAACAAAAACAGAAACAAAAAAAAAAAAAAAGAAGAAGAAGAAGAAAUGACAGACCUUUUCCCAAAGUGAUGAUGCCAGUUUACAUUCCUACCAACAUUGUCUGAGAGUUCCAAACUGCAGUGGGAAGGUUUCUGAUGUUGAAUUAAACUUUAAAAAAAAAAAUAAACACAGAGAUACACAUAUUUUGUUUCACCUUGUGUCCAUUAUGAUGAGUUGUAUUUUACAAAGAAUAUGUACAGUUCAUCUAAAUUGUUUAGUUUUUGGCAUAAAGUUGUUUACAAUAUUCUUCUAUUUUUUUUUCACUAUUUGUAGACUGAUAGUCCCUUAUUCUAGAUAUUGUAAUCUGUGCUCUCUCUGUAUUUAAUAAAUUUUAUAGAUCUUUUAAAAAAAUAAAACAUUUGGAUUUAUGGAUUUUCUCUAUUUUGGGGGGUCUACUUUCCAGUUUAUUGAUUAAUGCUCUGAUAUUUAUUGUAUCUUCCUAUUACUUAUUUUGUGUACUUUUCUUAAAAGGAAAACUUUAGUCAUUGAUUUUUAGACCUAUGUUGUCCAAUGUGGUAGCCAAUAACCACAUGUGGUAUCUAAAUUUAAAUUAAUUUAAAUUAUACAGGAGUUCUCUUGGGGCAUAGUGGGUUGAGGAUCUGUCACUGUCACUGCAGCGGCUGGGGUUGCUGCUGUGGCAUGGCUUGGAUCCCUACUUCUGGAACUUCUUCAUGCCAUGGGCAUGGCCAAAAAAAUAAAGAUAAAUUAAUUAUAUAAAUUAAAAAUUCAAUUCCUUAGUUACACUAGUCACAUUUCAAGAACUUAAGAGCCAUACACGGCUAGUGGCUACCAGACUGGACAAUAUAUAUACAGAAUAUUUCCAUUAUCACAGAAAGUUCUAUUAGACAACAUAUUUUUCUAAUUUAAAUAUUUAAAGCUAUAAAAUUUCCUCUAUGUACUACUUUAGCUGCAUCCUACAAAAUUCUGAUUUGUUAUGUUUUCACUACCAUUAAGUUAAAAAUAUUUUCUACUGUGAUUUCUUCUUUGGCCCAUGGAUUACAUACAGUGUGUUGUUGAAUCUCCAAAUAUCUAGGGUCUCUCUAGAUAUAUUUCCGUUACUGAUUUCUAAUUUAAUUCCAUUGUGGUCAGAGGACAUACUAUAUUCCCCAUAUAUUUCAAACUUUUAAACUUUACUGAAACUUGUUUUGUAGUUCAGCAUUUUGACCAACUUGGUAAACAUCCCAUGUGAAUUUAAAAGAAUGUAUAUUCUGCUGUUGUUGAAUGAAACAUUCUAUAUCAAUUUUGUUUAUGCAUUCAUCUAUGCCUUUUAUGAUUUUUUUUUUUUGUAUAGCUGUUCUAUCAAUUGCUGACAGUGGAAAAAAAUCUCCAAUGCUGAGAAAAUUUUUUGUUUCUCCCUUUAAUCCUGUGAAUUGGUAUGUAAAUUGCUGCAUGGCAACUUUUACUCUGCUGGAAUGAAAUUAAAGGUUUUGACUAAAAGAUUUAUAAAGCAGCUUUCUGGAUUUCAUUAAUAUGUUGAUGUCCACAGUGAACUACAUUGCACAUCUGGGUGUUAACAGUAGUGUUGUUUACCAAGACCCUAAAAAUAAAGAGUUUCCUCUAGAAGUUUUCAAGUUCUAUGUUUUUAACUACUUAGAUAUUUCAAACUUGCUAAUCUAAACUAAUUAUGGGAAGGAGCAGCUUGCAUUUUAAAUGUUCUUUAAAAAAUAUUUUUGGCUCUACUUGCGAUAUGGCCAAGAAAGCUCCUACUGGACUGUUUCUCCGGGGGAAAAUAACUACAAACUCUAGAGAAAAAUAUAUAUUAAAAAAACAACUACCUGAAGGCACUGUGGAAAGAUGAAAAGUAGAUAGAUUGUAGAAGGCUGACACUUAGAAGAAGGGAAAAGAUUUAGAUGUGUUUCUCAAUUUUAUGGCUUCUAGCCUGGUGGUAGGCUGCAGUCAGUAGAUGGCUAAAACUCCAACAGAAAUUGGUAGUCCUUGGGGCAUAGAUUUUUGGACAACCACAGCCACUGGGAAGUAAAGCAGGAACCCCAGAACGUAUAAAACCAGAAAGAAAGAGCCUCAAAUUCUGUGUAAAAACUGCCCAAUAUCUGGCUGACUCCUAAACCAGGCAGGUAAAGGGCAGGCUCUAAGUACCCUGGCUAAGGAUAAAAGAAAUGACCCAAGAAUUGAGGUGCUGCCUGAGAAACAGAGUUUGUGAUUUUAGUUCAGCCAAGCUAAUUGAUAGAUAGCUAAGGCAAAAAACAAAAUAAACAACAAUCUUCCCUCAUAAACUUCUUCAGAAGAAUAUAAGAGAAACCACAGUAUUCAUAACAUAGUACUAAAAAGUUCAAAAUAUACUCCAAAAUUGUUAAAUAUACAAAGAUAAAGCAAAAUGUAACCCUACCUCAAGGAAAAAAGAUAAUUGGAGUUCCCACUGUGGUGCAGUGGGUUAAGAAUCUGACUGCAGCAGCUCAGGUCACUGUGGAGGUAUAGGUUUGAUCCCUGACCUGGUGCAAAGGGUUAAAGGAUCCAGCAUUGCUACAGCUGUGGCUUGGGUCACAGUUAUGGCUCAGAUUCAAUCCCUGGCCCAGGAACUUCCAUGUGCCACAACAGCAGCCAUAAAAUAAAAAACCUAAAAAAAGAAGAGGAAAAAGGACAACUACUAGUGAUCUCAAAGUAACUUAGAUGUUAUAAUUAACAGAUAAGAAUUUUUAGUCAGUUAUCAUAAUUAUGUUCAAUGGCCUAAAAGAAUAUAUGAAAUAUAUAGGAAAUCUUAACAUGGAAAUAGAAACAAUAAAAAGAACUAACUGGAAAUUUUUGAAUUAAAAAAUUCAAUAUAUACAGUUUUCGAAAUAAAUCAACUGGAUGAACUCAGCAGAAUGGAGAUUAUAUAGGAAACAGUAAAAAAAUUUGAAGACAGGCUGAUAGAUAUGAUCCAGUCUGAGUAACAGAGAGAGGAAAAAAAAGACUGAACAAAAAACAAUGAAGAGAACAUCAGACCUGUAGGACAACAUCAAAAAGUCUACAUAGGUAUAACUGUAGUUUCAGAAAGAAAAAUGACAGAGUGGGGUGGAAAAAUAGUUGAAGAAAUAUGGCUGAAAAUUCUUCAAAUGUGGUAUAAAACCUAAAUUUACAGAUUCAUGAAACUCAAAGAAUACCAAGUAGGACAAAUACAAAGAAAACAAAGAGAAGAAAAUCUUGCAGUUCCCCUUGUGGUGCAGCAGAAACAAAUCUGACUAGUAACGAGGACACGGGUUCAGUCCUUGGCCUCACUCAGUGGGUUGGGGAUUGGCUGUUGCCAUGAACUGUGGUGUAGGUCAUAGACGUGUUGCUGUGACUGUGGUGUAGGCCUGCAGCUGUGGCUCUGAUUAGACUCUUAGGCUGGGAACUUCCACAUGUGGUGGGUGUGACCCUAAAAAGCAAAAGAAAAGAAAAUCUUGAAAGGAGCCUGAGAAAAGAUACCACAUUACAUAAAGAUAACAAUGAUUCCAGGGACCAUAGACUUUUCAUCAGAAACCAAGGAAGCCAGAAGAUGGUAUAACAGCAUCUGCAGGGAAAAAAAAUCUUCAACCCAUAAUUCUAUAUCCAGUAAAAAUAUCUUUCAAAACUGAAGGUUAAAUAAAUAUACAUUAGUCAUAUCUUUUAGUCACUACUUUUCAUGUUAUACUAAAAAUUGGUGAGCCCGUGCAGAAGUUUGCACACCAAUUCAUAGAAACUUUAAGAUACAUGUUUUAAAAUUAACAGUAAUUAAAACAUCAGGUGAACUGGGAGGAGGGAACAACAAAACAACCUCAGUUUUUCCUUUAAUACUGAAUAGUGGUUAAUAAGUUAUUUUUAUGUGAUCUGACCGAAGAAUGAGAGUCAUUUACAUUCCCCCAGGAUUUCUUGGUCUAAAUCAUCUCUUCUUCUUCCUCCUUUCCCACAGUUAUGCCACUUAGAAAAUGAAGGAAUAGUCAUGUUUAUUCCUCUAAACAUGAUUCAGAGCUAGAGAAAGAAUGCAGAACUGGCCAUUAAAAACUCACCUGCUAAGGUUCAAAAUGAAGGGUGGGCAAACUAUCAGGCCUGAGGAAAGAAAACAAACAGGCAAAGGUAUUCUGAAAGGGCUCAUUCAAGCGGAGAAUCAACUGCAAACGUUGCGACUGAGUCAAUAUUUGCAUUAGAAAUCUCAACCCGAAUUAACACAUUUGUGGAACGUGUUGGUCCAGAAACAGUUCCCAGGAGAGUUCUGGAAGUCUGACCUUCUCCUGCACAUAUGCUCUGACUUUUAUGAGUUCUUUUAAUAUUUUUUAAAGCUGCUGCUAAGUGUUAAUUUUUGUUCAAAGGAUUACCAAACAAUCUGUUGGUAACAUAAAGAUCCCCUUCACAUGGGCCUUCCUUAAAUCUAGAAGCAGAUUGUUUUCCAAACAGUUAACAUCCCAUGCUGCUUGCCAAGCACAGUUAUUAACUAGCCUCUGAUAUCUAAACAACAGCUGUGUUCUGUCCUGCUAAAGGGCAGCCUCACCCAGACAGUGACUCUCCAAAGGUCAGCUGUGUUCUGCAGCAGGAAGUCCACUCCGCGGUUGGUGGCACAUGCCGGCACAACGGAACAGUCUAUGUUUGUCCCAAUUCCCUUUCCUCCCUUUUGGCUAAUCUUCAACUGGUUGUAAAUGUUGAGCUUGUCCUGCACAGGAAGCGGGGGCCUCAAACUUCAUCCUGCAUGCUCACUGCCGCUCUUGCUCUUACACACUCUUUUCACUCAGCAUCAUCUCAGAGUGGCCACCGAAAACGGUGCUGAUGACAAAGGUCCAGAAGACGAAGUAAAAACACUUGCCUCAGAAACAAGUACAUUUGUCAUGUAUUUAUUAAGUGUCAGGCACUGUUUCAGGUCUUUAUUACAAUAACCCCCUCUCCACAUUCUCCAACUCCCCUAAGGAUCGUCCCUCCCAUUUUAUAGGUAGGGAAGCUGUAGUUGCUCAGAGCAUUUAAAUGAACUUCCCAUGGUCACAUGGCUUUGAAGGGAAGCCAUGAGACUACUCAGUUCUUUUUGUACUCAAGUCCAAGGGUCUUCCUGCUCUGGCAACCUUCAAGAGUAGAGACAUUCCAAAAAAAAAAAACAACAAAAAAAAAAACCCUUGUCAUAUUGAUAGGAGGUAGGUGGAAAGGUGAUUUAAAAAUUCACCUGGAGGAGUAAAUGCAUAUGAAUAGCUAAUGUCAUUUUAAUAAUAAUGAUGGACGUGUCUUUGCAGAUAUUAAAAUAUAUCUCAUAAGGUUAAUGCAUACCCACAUAGUGCCUGGCUGAUAUUAAGGACCUAAUAAAUGUUAGUCACCAUUAUUAUAAUAUGCUAAGUAUGUUUCAUACAUAUUAUCUCACUUGACUUUUUUGGGGAGGGAUAUUAUGAUGACAAUUUUAUUCCCAUUUUAUAAAUCACAGGAAACUGAGGCACAAAGAGUUUAAAUAACAUGCUGAAGGUCACAAAGUAAGUAAAUGGAAUAUCUGUAAUCUGAACUAAGGCAAUCUGACCUCUAAGUUAAGAGUGCUAUUUUAACACUAAUACUAAUAUCAGAAGUCUGGGAGAAUAUUUUUGGCCACACCCAAAGCACACGGAGGUUCCCAGGGCAGAGACUGAAUCUGAGCCACAGCAGUGACAAUGCCAGAUCCUUAACCUGCUGAGCAACCAGGGGACUCCAAAAGCCAGGGAGAUUUAAAUGUUCAUCAAUAGGGGACCUAAAUAAAUCUAAGUGCAUCAAUAUACAGAAUCGUUCUGAUAAGAGGCAGAUCUAUACGAUAUAAAAAGAUGUCUAUAAUUUACGUCAACAGAACAAGCUGCACUGCAUGUCAUUUUUGUUGAACAAUAACCAUAUACAUGUAGUCACAGUUGUUUGUGAAGUUGUACAAAGUUGUACGUACAUAAAUAUGUACUAGCCUUUUCCUAACAUGGUUUCAUAUUGUUUCAAUCUGCUACAAGCAAGCUCUACUCCUAUAAUAAACAAGCAAGGCUUUUAAAAAUGGCUCGCUACCUAGAAAAGAAAAGAAAGAUGUUCUGUUCAAAGGGAAAACGCUUCCAUAAACAGGUUAAAUGAUGACCAACUGAAAGUGCAAGAGGUCCUCCCCAGCUCUUUUGGUUGGUACAAGAGUUCCACGGUAAAUGGCACUUUGAACUGGGAAUAGAAGAGGACAGCCUGGGAUUCGAUGCAGACCAGUCUACACAAACAGCUGUGUCCUAGCUUGUGGCUGGCCCAGUGCCCUGCAUGCCUGUGUGUAGGAGUAGAAAGGCUUUUCCUUGUAUAAUCACUUCCUUCCGACAGUGCUGGUCAACAGGAGUAAGGGACAGAGCAGUGAAUGGUUGCCUAUCACUUUGGUGUGAGUGGCUCCAUUCUGAGGAGACUCAGUGCGCCCAGACAGAUUGUGCUGCACUGGGGUAAGUCCCAGACUUACAAUAAGGCACCUCUGGUCAGCAGUGAUGAUGGACAGAGAGAAGGUCACCCCCUGGGUGAGGGGUGAGGAUGGGGGUGGGGUGGGGGGAGGGAAAUCUGGUCCAUUCCAUGUUCUCUCACUAGAUCACUGAGUCAGGCCAGCUAGAACACUUAGGACCACACCCCAACUUCAUCCAGGGGCAAGGGUGGGAAUGGGAUGGUCCAGUGUGCCAACUCUGCUCCCUGAGGCAGGCCUGGAGAUGCACUGUUGAGUCACAGCAGCGAGCCUCACAUGUUAAAGAAGUGGAAUUGUCAUCUGAUGCUAUAUUGAGCUGGUUAGUGAAUUUCAGGUAGAAUUUCCCUGAAGCUGCCUCAACAGCAAAGUGGCAAAUUGUUUUCCAAAUCCACCUACGGAAGGGAUUUUCUCCUUAGCUUCCUUCCUCUUUCCUCCCUUCCUGUUAUGAAGCACACCCCCCUGUUCAUCUGAAACUUGGUAUGACUCUGGCAGGAGACAAGCCCAGUCACGUGCCAGUGGACAGGGACGCUAUCCCGUGACAAGAAACCUGGAGACGGAGAGCCUGGAUCUGCUGAGACUCUGACUCUGUGCUCCCAUAAACUGCGCCGCUAACGCCUGUGAUGACAAAAGCUUGGAUGAUGCAGGUGUGAGUUUCCCACUGAUGGUCAAACUUUUGACCUUUUCUCCCCUUUUAAUUAACUUUCAUUUUUAUCAGAGCAAACAAAAUCACAGGACUUAGAUCAAAUUGCUCAAAAAUACUGAAAUAAAAAAAUUGCUCCAAGGCAAACAUUUUCAAUGCUUUCAGCUUUUUAAAAAAACCAAAAACUAUGCUAAUAUUGCCAUUUCUUGACUUAUCUAUCCUUCACCUAGUAACUUCCUGUUAUAAUUGUUUUAAUUUUAGCUUUUAUACCACCUACCACAUUUCUCCUUCCCUUAUAUUAUUAUGAUAAAGAUCUGUUCAUGGAAAAGUCAAAGAGUUUACUGUUUUUUCUCUCUUGAGUAAUUUUUUUGCUUGGAGUUAACACUUCCCCCUUGGUUUCAUUUGCUUAAUUUUCUGUGCAUUGACCUUCAGAUUUUUCCAAACACUCUACCUGAACGAUCAAUAUAUAUACAAAUAUUAUUUUCCAAAUGGCUAAGAACAACAGAUGAUCUGUGAAUUCUUCCAAAGUAGCUGGGCCUAUUUUAUACACAUUAAGGUUCUCUGGGUUGUUUCCUUAUGUUGGUUCCUUGCCUUCUGGGUUUUAUUUCUUUUUCCUUUUUUAUUUAUCUCCUCAUUUUGCUAAAGUACCUAUUGUGGUUGUUUCCUAGAAAAGGAUCCACAGGAAGCAAAAUUUUGAGUGCUUGCAGCUUUAAAAAUAUCUUUGUUCUUAUCCUCAUACUUUAUUAAAGUUUGGCUGAACAUAAAAUUCUAUAUGGAAAAUAAUUUUUCCUCAGAAUUUUGCUGACUUUGUUCUACUGUCUUCCAGCUUCCAG
rnacentral:lncRNA from 1 species